rnacentral:rRNA from 1 species
UAGGGAGUCUUCCGCAAUGGACGCAAGUCUGACGGAGCAACGCCGCGUGAGUGAAGAAGGAUUUCGGUUCGUAAAACUCUGUUGUUAGAGAAGAACAGCGCAUAGAGUAACUGUUAUGCGUGUGACGGUAUCUAACCAGAAAGCCACGGCUAACUACGUGCCAGCAGCCGCGGUAAUACGUAGGUGGCAAGCGUUGUCCGGAUUUAUUGGGCGUAAAGCGAGCGCAGGCGGUCAAUUAAGUCUGAUGUGAAAGCCCCCGGCUCAACCGGGGAGGGUCAUUGGAAACUGGUUGACUUGAGUGCAGAAGAGGAGAGUGGAAUUCCAUGUGUAGCGGUGAAAUGCGUAGAUAUAUGGAGGAACACCAGUGGCGAAGGCGACUCUCUGGUCUGUAACUGACGCUGAGGCUCGAAAGCGUGGGUAGCAAACAGG